UUGGCCGAAGUUUGACAGCCGAAACCACGACCUUGAAAAUCAGCUGUUCGGAUAAAAGGAUGCGAAGAAAGUGUGAAACGUGCACUUCAUCAAUGGCUAAAUCAAUAAACUCUCUGCCGGUCGAGGUUUUGGAGAAAAUUUUCAUCUACCUCCCAUUCAAGGACAUCCGGAACGUCGGUCAAGUUUGCCAUAAUUGGCGCGAUGUUCUGGGCGGUCGUCGUUUUCAGCGGCGGAUCCAGGUGAAGCUGCAGGGCGACUUCGGGGAGGAAGUUUCGCCGGCCAGUAUGAGAUUCCUGAGCACAUGCAAGAAUCUGUCGAUAGUGCAAAUUUACACCGAUGCGGACGAUAAUGGUGAAAAUAGCGAUUUGGAAGGUGAGAAUGAUUGCGCGCCAUCGACAUCUUCGUCUGCAAUGGCGCAUCGUCAGGAGAAUUUCAUGGCGGAAAAUAAUAUUGCAAGCAUUUUGUUCGGGACGACAGAGCUUAAUAGUUUGCAAAUAUAUAGCAAGUAUAAAAGUCUGAAAAGAAUUAUACAAACUAGAUUAGGCGAAUUGACGCAGUUAAAAGAAUUUAGCGUUUCGUUUUGCUACGACGGAGAAUCUUGCAAGGUCGAUGAUCAAACCUGGUUGCUGAAGAGUGCCAGUUUGGAGAUCUUCAAUAUUGGGCUGCCGUACUCGAUUGGGUCGUUGCAGCUUGAAGCUCCCAACUUAAAGGAAUUGCAUCUAACCGUGAAUUGCGAUGCGACUUUAAAGUUGGUCCAGCAGUACAGUAGCCGAUUGGAAUCGCUCAGGGUAAAUCUGUUCGACAUCGAGACUCUGGACCAGAUCAUGGCCUGCCGUUUCCCCUGUCUGCAGCUGCUGGAGCUGGGGAUGUACGAUGACAAAGAGCUUCAAUACAGCUACUCACAAACGGCGGACCGUGUGGCAGAUGACCAACUAUCGCGAAACUUUACCAGGCAUAUGCCUUUGCUUAAAACCUUAUCUGUUCAUAGUAACGUAGCGUUUUAUAAGAUUUUUCCCACCUGGUGUUCAUUGAGGACGAGUUUGGAGACUCUGGAGCUGCAGAAUAUGGAAAUCGACGCCAAUGUGUUGAUUAAUGUUCUGCUGAUCCAACCACUUAAGAGCUUAACGAUCCAGCAAUGCGAAAUCGUCAACGAUCUGCCUGGUUUGCAUAUCCGAAUGGUUGGGCUCGAGCGGCUCAAGCUGAUAAAUGUGGUGAAUAACGUCCUGCUGGAGCACAACUUUUGUGACCUGAAAUAUUUCGAGCUAGUGCAUGGAUUCAAAUAUGGGAACGACUUGCUGCAGAAGGUGUUCUACAACUUUACGUCCGUGCAGCAUUUGAAGCUGCGUUUCAGAACAACGCUUGACGAGGAUGCCCUCCAAAAAUUGCACCAAAUGCGAAACAUUAUCUCUCUGGAACUGCGGGCCACCGAAGUGACAGGUGAGCACUGGAAUUUGUGUCAACCCUUGGCAACGGUCCAACAGUUCACCCUGAGUAACUGUUUCAUGGUGAGGUUUUCAAUGUUUGGAUCAUUGGGUCGAGUGUUCCCGUCGCUGAAACGGCUGCACGUGGACUGUUGCCAUAUCGUCGAUGAUACCGGAGAUCCCAAUGCAGCUGCUGACGGAAGCUGCGAAAGAAAGACGAGGGAAAUGUUUCCCAACAGCAUUGUAUCGUGGCAUGAUUCAGUACAGAUUACUCCGUCAACGCUUAAGCAGCUGCUCAUGUGACAAGCAUCCAAAUGGCAUUAGUCAAUAUGUAGGUUAAUAGCACUAACUGUUAAGACUAAGUGUAAGAGAGCAAUCUCAGGAAAGUAAAGUCAAUUUUACAAAUACAUAUUUAUUCAAUGAUUUAUAAA